CGGAGAGGUGGCAGAGUGGUCGAUUGCGGCGGUCUCGAAAACCGUUGACCCUGCAAGGGUCCGAGGGUUCGAAUCCCUCCCUCUCCGCCA
rnacentral:tRNA from 1 species